AGAGUUUGAUCAUGGCUCAGAACGAACGCUGGCGGCGUGUUUAAGACAUGCAAGUCGCACGGGAUCAUUUUGGUAGUAAUACUUGAAUGGUUCAGUGGCGCACGGGUGAGUAACACGUGAAUGACAUGCCCUUGAGUGGGGGAUAGCCCAGGGAAACUUGGAUUAAUACCCCAUGGUAUCGCGAGAUUAAAGGUGGCCGCAAGGCUGUCGCUCAAGGAUUGGUUCGCGCCCUAUCAGCUUGUUGGCGGGGUAACGGCCCACCAAGGCUACGACGGGUACCUGGUUUGAGAGGACGAUCAGGCACACUGGAACUGAGACACGGUCCAGACACCUACGGGUGGCAGCAGUCGAAAAUAAUUCACAAUGGGGGCAACCCUGAUGGUGCAACGCCGCGUGGAGGAUGACGGUCUUCGGAUUGUAAACUCCUGUCAUCCGGGAGUAAGACCUGGCGAUGAAUAGUCGACAGGGUUGAUAGUACCGGAAGAGGAAGGGACGGCUAACUUCGUGCCAGCAGCCGCGGUAAUACGAAGGUCCCGAGCGUUGUUCGGAAUCACUGGGCGUAAAGGGAGCGUAGGCGGCGCGGUAAGUCAGAUGUGAAAUCCCGGGGCUCAACCCCGGAACUGCAUCCGAUACUGCCGUGCUUAGAGGGUUGGAGAGGUAGCUGGAAUUCUUGGUGUAGCAGUGAAAUGCGUGGAUAUCAAGAGGAACACUCGUGGCGAAAGCGAGCUACUGGACAACACCUGACGCUGAGGCUCGAAGGCCAGGGGAGCGAAAGGGAUUAGAUACCCUAGUAGUCC
rnacentral:rRNA from 1 species